AUUGAACGCUGGCGGCAGGCCUAACACAUGCAAGUCGAACGAGUGGCGGACGGGUGAGUAAUGUCUGGGAAACUGCCUGAUGGAGGGGGAUAACUACUGGAAACGGUAGCUAAUACCGCAUACCCACAGAUGUGCCCAGAUGGGAUUAGCUUGUUGGUGGGGUAACGGCUCACCAAGGCGACGAUCCCUAGCUGGGCUGAGAGGAUGACCAGCCACACUGGAACUGAUAUACUGUCCAGCUGCCUACUGGAGUCAGCAGUGGGGAAUAUUGCACAAUGGGCGCAAGCCCGAUGCAGCCAUGCCGCUUGUAGGAAGAAGGCCUUCGGUUUGUAAAGUACUUUCAGCGGGGAGGCGUUACCCGCAGAAGAAGCACCGGCUAACUCCGUGCCAGCCGCCGCGGUAAUAC
rnacentral:rRNA from 1 species